rnacentral:sRNA from 12 species
GAGAGAUUGUGCCCUGCGUCGAAGACGCAUAUUGGAAUGGCACAAUCGACCUGCCGCCGAACGAAUGUGAGGGGGCGAUACCCAAU